UGGAGUCAAAGUGGCACUUCUCGGAACACCCCUCCGAUCUGUGUCUCAAAAACUCCAAAACUAACCUAAAUACGGACGGCAUCCUGAAUAAUUAUUCAUAUUAUUUCAGAUGACUUGUGUCUGCGUACA
rnacentral:snoRNA from 1 species